rnacentral:rRNA from 1 species
CAGCCGCCGCGGGAAUACAGAGGGUGCGAGCGUUAAUCGGAUUUACUGGGCGUAAAGCGCACGCAGGCGGUCUGUCAAGUCAGAUGUGAAAUCCCCGGGCUUAACCUGGGAACUGCAUUUGAAACUGGCAGGCUAGAGUCUUGUAGAGGGGGGUAGAAUUCCAGGUGUAGCGGUGAAAUGCGUAGAGAUCUGGAGGAAUACCGGUGGCGAAGGCGGCCCCCUGGACAAAGACUGACGCUCAGGUGCGAAAGCGUGGGGAGCAAACAGGAUUAGAUACCCCAGUAGUCCCUGUCUCUUAUAC